UACGUAGGGUGCAAGCGUUGUCCGGAAUUAUUGGGCGUAAAGAGCUCGUAGGCGGUUCGUCGCGUCGGCUGUGAAAACCCGGAGCUCAACUCCGGGCCUGCAGUCGAUACGGGCGGACUAGAGUUCGGCAGGGGAGACUGGAAUUCCUGGUGUAGCGGUGAGAUGCGCAGAUAUCAGGAGGAACACCGGUGGCGAAGGCGGGUCUCUGGUACGUGACUGACGCUGAGACGCGAAAGCGUGGGGAGCGAACAGG
rnacentral:rRNA from 1 species